rnacentral:rRNA from 1 species
CCAGACUCCUACGGGAGGCAGUAGUGGGGAAUAUUGCACAAUGGGGGAAACCCUGAUGCAGCGACGCCGCGUGAGUGAAGAAGUAUUUCGGUAUGUAAAGCUCUAUCAGCAGGGAAGAAGAUGACGGUACCUGACUAAGAAGCCCCGGCUAACUACGUGCCAGCAGCCGCGGUAAUACGUAGGGGGCAAGCGUUAUCCGGAUUUACUGGGUGUAAAGGGAGCGUAGACGGCGAUGCAAGCCAGAUGUGAAAGCCCGGGGCUCAACCCCGGGACUGCAUUUGGAACUGUGUGGCUGGAGUGUCGGAGAGGCAGGCGGAAUUCCUAGUGUAGCGGUGAAAUGCAUAGAUAUCACGCAGAACUCCGAUUGCGAAGGCAGCGCACCGGCGCCCUACUGACGCUCAGGCACGAAGGCGUGGGUAUCGAACAGGAUUAGAUACCCUAGUA